CCUACGGGAGACAGCAGUGGGGAAUAUUGGGCAAUGGCGGAAACUCUGACCCAGCAAAGCCGCGUGAAUGACGAAGGUCUUCGGAUUGUAAAGUUCUUUAUUCAGGGAAGAAUAAAAUGACGGUACCUGAAGGAUACGCUCCGGCUAACUACAUGCCAGCAGCCGCGGUAAUACGUAGGGAGCAAGCGUUGUUCGGAAUGACUGGGCGUAAAGGGUGUGUAGGCGGUGAUUCAAGUUAGAAGUGAAAUACCCAGGGCUUACCUCGGGUGCUGCCUCUAAAACUGUAAGACUUGAGUGCAGUCGAGGUUAGCGGAAUAACUAGUGUAGCGGUGGAAUGCGUAGAUAUUA
rnacentral:rRNA from 1 species